CAAAGAGCAAGAAGUUGGCAACAGUGCUAAGAAGAUCACAGAAACAACAACCGAUAUUCUACUGAAAGAGAGCUUGUGGACUUCAUGGAAGACUGGAAGCAAAUAACACUGAAACCCACAAGGAAAAAAGGAGAACUUCAGCAGCAGCAUGGAUGCUAAUGUUUUCUGAAUAAUGAAGUAGUACUAAGGAAUAUAAACUACACCAGUGACUACAUAGAGCUAAGCGAAGCCUUGAUACACCUCCUCAGACAAGCAUCACAGGUUCAAAGGUUACCUGGGUGCAGUGUUGCCUGUUUAUUAAAGCCACACACUGAUGAUUCGGGGCUUAGUCCUGCCACAGGAGCUGGCGAAGCACCAACCCUUGAACACACACUUGGAGUUGUAAAGCAGUGAAGGAAGCAAGCUGUAUCAGCCCUCCACCCUCAAGCACUGAAGUAAGGUUCAACUCU
rnacentral:lncRNA from 14 species